ACCACGCCCGUCCCUCCCGUGGCAACGUCCGCCUGAGCCGUGCCCGACGCGUCCGUUCGCCUGAAACCGCGCCCGACGCGUCCGUCUAUAGUUAUCCUCCAGCAACCAUCCGUGUCUCCUUGUCUCCCUUGGUUUUAAUUACCUGAGAAUGAAGAAGGUAUAUUUGAUGUUGUUCUUCAAGGUUCUACUCAUUUCUCAUUCCAUCCCUGGCAUUAAUUUUUAACGGGGAUAAAGAAAUACAACAAACAGGAGAAUCAAACAUAUCUAUGCGAGUAGAGAACGCGUAUGCUGAUUAGGGAAGGUCAACAUGGUUCAGUUGGCAUAAGAAGCUCCGAUGGACACAAGUUUUCAUGAACUGAAUUGAUUGGGUGCCCUUGGCAAGUUCUCGUUAGAAUUACCUCUUCUUACAAGGAUAAGAAACUUAAGUGUUCUUCAUUUAUUUUGUGCAGAUCCUCCUGUGAAGCAUACAAUUUCAUUGUAUCCGAGGAGAAACAUGGGACUCCAGAUGUAUAGAGACUCGGAGACACUGCUAAACUGUCAUUUGUGGGCAUCUACCAAAUUCACUAUCAGCCAGUGUAGUAGGAGGUAUGUUGAUUUUUUUUUUUAUUAGUCCAUGUAGAGAUGCUAUUCUCAGCUCUAGAUUUGACACUUGAGAUAUCCAAAUUACACUCCCAUGGCUUGUAUGUUGCUGGAAGAUGCUCACAAACACUAACCUUUAUGAUAUAUUUGUUUGUUGUGGAGUUCUUUCAGAAUGUCUUAAGAGAUAGAGAAUCUGGCAUUUAAGAUUAUUUCUACAUUUAUUUUCUUCGACUGGUAUAAUCCUCCUGAAGGUUAUGCUUGAGAUAUCAUUUAAGGAAGCAAUGAGUUAUUUUGGCAUUAUAUUUGUUUCUAUUAAUUCCUAGAGAGACAAAGAUACUUCAACUUCAUAUCAUUCUAUAUAUGAGUUUAUUUAUAUAACUCUGAAUCAUUUAAGUAGCAUGUUUAUCUGUUUGCUUUUAUUAUGAUAUAAAUACAAAGUGAGUUUCUGUAGAAAGGGAAAAUAAUUUGAAUACGUGAGACUAUUUAGAUGCAUAUUGGUUCCCCUAUUUGCUACGUCGCGUGGCAUGUUCUGAUCACUCUACGAAUUCUUCAUUGAUGUUGGGGCUGCUACUGGAUCUGGCUCCCCAGCUGAGGUGCCGACUGCUGCUGUAUUUUGGCGCCUGGUAGCAGGAAGUGCAUCCUCUUAACUUCUUUCAAAGAGUUGUUGUGCUUCAUAGUUCAACUGGCUAGAGAAAUGAUAAACAUGAAGGCUUAAAACAACUUGUACUAGGUUAAGGUAGCGGUGCAGCCUCUUGAUGCUAAAAAUCUAUGGUCCUGACGGGAUAUCGAGUGAUGCCCUAAUUGAUUAAAAAAGGGGCAUCAAUCAUUUGGGAUACUAUGUCCUGAAUAUUAUUGCAUGAAUUUUGUGUUUCAGCCUUACAGACAAUAAUAUGUCAAGAUUAGAUGCCAAAUACCGAGAUGGAUUUGUGGCAAGGAUCAUUCAUCAUGUUAUGUGGUGACAAAUGAAGACAAUGCUUAUGUUUUUAUGUGUACUUUUUUUUACUUCAAUUAGCAUUUCUACGAUGAAAUCAUUCCAACUGAACCAAUGAGAAAAUAAUUCUGCCUCUAAUGCUUUUAUUUUCUUUGAUUGUUUUGAUGCUCCAUAUUUGAAUGUUUAUGUUCUAUUUUGAAUCGUAAUGAUUAUCCAUUACCAACAUGUCGUCAUGGUGUAAGUCCCCGACACGUGGUGUGCCAUGAUUUAGGGAACAACAUUGAAUAGAAGUCUGCGAGAGUCUGAUGGCCCUGUUGUGGAUGUAGCAGUGUGUUCACCGGAGAUUAGGUCAUCAAUGGGAUGAACCAUUAAUCUCCUCCAUUUUUUGUACCGUCGUUGUGGGAAGAACAUUCACAUUCCCCUUAGUUACAUGGCGUUUUAGGAUUUUAUCUCCUGGCACUUCACAGAGACUGGUAUUUUCUUCGUUCGCACUGCUUACCAUGUUGAAUGGACUCGUCAAUAUAGGCGGGAUUUCAAUGUUUCGGCUUCAGGUCCAUCAGCUACUAACCCAGUUUGGCAUUGUCUUUGGAAACUAUCCAUACCUCUCAAAGUUCAGAUCUUCUGCUGGAGAAAUCAAUUCUUACUAACCGUCAAGUAGGUUGGCUGGGUCAUUGUCCUAUAUGCAAUCAGGGUGUUGAAGAUGUCAAGUAUCUCCUGUUUACCUGCAGCCGAGCCACUGCCCUUUGGAAUGCGCUGGGACUAGCUCAUGUGAUUUCGGACGCAGCUGCCUUGAAUCACUUAGGAUCUGCCAUUUUGGAGCACUUUAUUUGUAUCCCCUCACAGCCAGUGCAAUGUAUGCCGUCAGUUAUCAUACAAACUAGAUCAUUGAUGGCGCGCGUUGCCGCGCCCGUCCAUUUUACCGGUAGAAUGAAAACAAUAUUUCAAAUGAUGGCAUGAAACAUAAAAGUUGGAUGCAAAAUGAGUUGAUUGGGAUACCAAUUCUAAGUUAGUUAUAGAAUUAUUCCCUGCUACUAUUUGUUGACCACAAUUGGCAACUAGGUUGAAGAUUUGGGAUCAGAUGUUGUGCAAAGAAUGAGGCACCAGGGUACUGAACUAACAGCAGGGGAGGACGAUUCUUCAGGUACCAUUAUUCGUUCAUUAAUUUGGUAUAAUCUUAAUGUAGGAGAAUUAUCACUCUAUGAUAUGAAAUCCCAACAUAUAGCAAUGAUAAAAUUCUGAUAUUGAAUGGUUCUUUUUGUAAGUACAGUUGUAAGAUCUAUGAUUCUAGCAUCGACUUUUAACUCGACAGUACUAAUUGGACAUAUAAUUGAUGAUUUAUGGACAACAAGAUAUUUUGUUGUUUUUAGUUAUUCAAUCAGAUUCAUCUAGCCCUUUCUUGACUUUCUAAUUAUUCCACCCUCUAUCUCUAAAACUCAGAAAUGGAUAUAAAUUGCUAUUUUUGUUGUAAUUAUCUGUGGUCGAAGCUUUUUAUUUAUAGGUGAUGGAAAGCUAACAAUACUUUUGAUUAUUUCAAAGCAAUGUCAGAUUUAAUAAUUUGAACUAAACUGGACUACAACAUGUUGAUGUAGAUGAGUCUAAACACAAUUAACAUAAUCAUCCAAUUUUCAGUGAGUAAAACAGGUUGGUGAGGUAAUUUUACCUCCGUUGCAACGCAUGGGCAUUUGUGCUAGUUACGAAAAUUGACCGUGCUUUGCAACCCGAGAAGAAAAAUCUUUACCUAAUAAUAAAGAGGUUACCGUUUCUGUCGGAAAACCCGUCGAGGCAUUUUUAUAAAAAAGCCGUUGUUAUUUUCAAUGUUCAACCCGCGGUCCUUCAUUANNNNNNNNNNNNNNNNNNNNNNNNNNNNNNNNNNNNNNNNNNNNNNNNNNNNNNNNNNNNNNNNNNNNNNNNNNNNNNNNNNNNNNNNNNNNNNNNNNNNNNNNNNNNNNNNNNNNNNNNNNNNNNNNNNNNNNNNNNNNNNNNNNNNCCUCGCCUCCCGAUCUAGGCCGACGGUGUCUCCCUGGCCAGCCGCCAGGAGCCCGCGGUGCGUGCGCGGCUUGAUCCGGUGCGGCGCCGGCCGUCGGCAGACGCCGGUGGUCGCAGCACCCUGCACCACCGUUCCCCGCCUCAUAUCCUCCUCUCCCACACGCACCCGAGCUCCUCGUUGUGCGCCGCCCGAGAGUGCUCGCGUUCGUUGCUAGACCAGAUCCACCGCCAGUCGGUCGUCGUCGCACUUGCCGGCGACCUCGCCAUCCCCUGUGCACCUCCCUCCACCUCAACUUCCGACGCCCGUGUGAUUGUGGAUGUUCUGAGAUAUAUUUGCACACAAGGUGUUUGUGUGUUUGUCUGAACCAGUUUCAGCCCCAGGUCUUUGAGGUAAACUCCCACAUGAACAUCAUAAGACUAAAUCUCCUUUGCUAUGAUUCAAAGAAUGCUAUGAUGAUGGGAGUUAACUGGUUUACUAGAAUAUAAUGGUUUGCCAAUUAGUUCACAUCAUGUGGAGUCUCAAGACACAUGGGUAUGCUGGCUCCUAUUGUUUGACAAAUGUGUAUCUAUAAAUUUUCUUUAAUCAUAUAUAAAGAAGUUACAGUUGGGUGUUGCCCUUUUUUUGCUAGACACAACACUCCAAGAAAAUAUGGGUGCUCAUGGUGAUAUAUGCAUGAUUUUUGAUUUUGAUAUGCCUUUUUUUGAUCUGAGCUAUCGGAGGUGAUGCGAUCUUUACCACCAGCCUAAGGUCAGUAUCCACUACCUGAUUUUGUAGAAUAGCUCCCAUCUUGCACCAUGACGCUGAACUACUACCCAUAGGGUGUGAGAGUGCGCGCGCUCAACUCUGUCGGACCGGUUGUGCUUUAGUACGUGCAAGCAAGGGAGAAGAGAGUUUGCUGAUUCUUAUCUGCAGCUCCAACAGGAAAGCCGACCAAUUAACUCUUGAGAUUUGUCAUUUAUGUUGUCAGGCUCAGUUAAAAAACUUUCAAAAAGGGAGGAUGCAAUCUUCUAAUUUUGUUUUGUGAAUCAAUCUUGUACUUAAUUCAGGAGCUCUCCCUUUUCAUUGUUAAGAUCGUCAUCACUUUCUAUAUAUAAUGCAACUACAAAGUAGAAUCACGUGAGUGGGUAUUUACCCCUUUAUUCAAGACAAAACAUGCAACAAGACAUGCUUUAAUUUUCUUGACAUGCUACAGUACUUUUAGAGACGGGAUGAAUAUGAGUUGUUCUUGUACAGAAAACAGUUGAAUUUGUGAGUUCAUUCCUUUUAGUUUUUGGUUCUGGUUCUUGAUACUGAACUACAAAAAUGGAAGUACUUAGUUUGCGUUUGGACUCCCGCUGGAAUGUUAAUAUAUGUGAAACUUAGAGUGGAUGUACUUUCAUUAUUUAGCUCUUUGAAUAUGCACAUACGACAUGAUUUGUACUGGCAUGCUACUAUGUAAAUCUUACGGGGUGACAAUUUGGUAAAUAGUCCCACUGUUCUAUCCCUCACCUUGCUCCGUGUGAGUUCCAAAAAAUAUAUCUUUUUUGUCUAAAAUGGAACAAGCAUUCAUGUUUGACAAAUUUAACCGCACAAAGUUAUCUAAUAAAACUUGCACAAAGUGUCUCUGCUUUUUGUAUGCGCAGGGCAAGUGAUUAUAACAAGUUUCUUUGUUGCGGGUCUGUUGUUGGGCGAGUGAAAAUGCCAGAGGUAGAAGCGAAGACAAUCAACAACGACGACCAUAUUGUGUCGAUGACCACCUUAAAAUAAUGCCAUGUAUGUUAAUUGUGUGUAGAAAAUUCUUAUUUUCUUUGGCGUGGAAAGUGUUGUAACAUGCAUGGAUGUCCUAUG
rnacentral:lncRNA from 1 species